rnacentral:rRNA from 1 species
GACGAACGCUGGCGGCGUGCUUAACACAUGCAAGUCGAACGAUGAAGCCGGAGCUUGCUCCGGUGGAUUAGUGGCGAACGGGUGGGUAACACGUGAGCAAUCUGCCCUUGACCCUGGGAUAACUGCGGGAAACUGUAGCUAAUACCGGAUACGACACCUUGGGGCAUCCCAGGGUGUGGAAAGAAUUUCGGUCAAGGAUGAGCUCGCGGCCUAUCAGCUAGUUGGGGAGGUAAUGGCUCACCAAGGCGACGACGGGUAGCCGGCCUGAGAGGGUGACCGGCCACACUGGAACUGAGACACGGUCCAGACUCCUACGGGAGGCAGCAGUGGGGAAUAUUGCACAAUGGGCGAAAGCCUGAUGCAGCAACGCCGCGUGAGGGAUGAAGGCCUUCGGGUUGUAAACCUCUUUUAGCAGGGAAGAAGCGAAAGUGACGGUACCUGCAGAAAAAGCACCGGCUAACUACGUGCCAGCCGCCGCCGUAA